ensembl:lncRNA
GGGACCGUGAGGAUCUCUCGUCCAACUCCUGGAACAGAGGAACUGAAUUCGCAUCUCCUGCCUGAGGCACUGUGUAUGUUCUACCAAAGCACCUGCAGUGUGUUCUGCACCUCUGGUACAAAGGCCAUGUUGCUGGAUGGGCACUCAAGGUUGUGCUAUGCUAAGGCCGAGAGAACUGCUUGCAGGUGUAGUGACAUAGCAGUAAAGCAGCCAGACAGCACCAGUUGUCCUUCUGUGCGUGUGUGUGCGGUUCUGUCAGGAGGAGUCAGUUGUUUGGUUAUUCGUUCUCAUUUUGACAUCAGUUGCCCUACAUAACAGUAAGCUUCACUGAGUGGAGUCUCUUUGUCCAGUUGCACUGGAAGGCGUGCAAAGCUAAGGUACAGCUGUCCUUUCUCUUGCAAAUAGCUUCUCAGUUAUAAAGCAGACAUUCACACGUGUGUUGUGGCCAUUUCAAACCAUACAAACUCAGAUGCAGCCCUGUAUGGGAUGGGAUCGCAGAAGCAGGCUGUGAUGUCGGUGACGCCUACGACUCAUACUGCUGAAAACUACAGAGCUGCACUCUGUCACCCAGACUGCACCGUGUGUGCUGAGCACCAGUGCUGGCUGUGGAAAUUUCAGCAAAACAUGUUGAUCUCUAAAGCAACAGGUGAGAAGGACUCCUGUUACCAGAAGAGAGGAAUUUAGGACUUUGACAAGCACCAACACACCCCUCGCAAGGAUGCAUGGCAAGACAACAUAUUCUCACAAGGAGGUAAAGCUAUAAAACUCCUGUUAGGACUCUGCUCUUUGAUCACAGGAAAUUAAACACUUGGGAUAUCUGGCCAGAGUUGUGCACACCUUCAAAGAAAACACAGCAAGAGGUCUAAUUGCCCAAUCAUGGCUGUUAUUGACUCCCUACCUAUGGUCUGUCUCUAGGGGUUGUGUGCACUUGAAGGGCGUGUGACACUGCACUUCCACCUUGUUUCUGCUGUAACAAACUCUCUUGCCCAGAAAAUACAGAACAGCCUGAGUUGGAAGGGAACCAUAAGGAUCUUUAAGUCUAAAAUGGAUGAGAGCACAGCAUCCUGAGAAGCAAUGGCUGUCAUACACUAUGCUGCCCAGCUCACAGAAACAUGUUUCAGAGCCACGUCGUAGAGUCAGAAGGAAACUCUCUAAAAAACCACUUCGUUGUGCUUCCCAGUAUGUAUUCAACAUUCUCCCUUCAGAAGCAGUGUGUUAUCACCUUGCUGCUGGUUCAGCUGAUGCUGUUACUUUCAUUCCCAGAGCUGAUACAGAACAUUUGCAACAUAGCAAAGUGAGCCCAAGACCGAUUUCUUAUUUAAGGUUCAGAGUCUUGAACCCAGAUGCCUGAGCAUCAGUAGAGGGAAAAAAAGCCCAAAUGCAUGGAAUGGGGAGCACCUGGCAGCCAUUGCACAGCAAUCACACUCAAGAAAUCAGAGCAGAUAAGAAGGGUCUGCUCAGGGUUACCUCCCUCAGCAGCUCUGCAGGCAGUGGGGCAUGUCAUACUCAGCCCGUGAGCUUUGCAGGGUGCAGCAUCUCUUCUGAGCUGCUCCUGGAGCACUGCUCCUGCAGGGCCUGCUUUGCUGCCGGGAAGAAGCACCUCACAGUGUGGAUGCAGUGAUAGGCAGAGAGGAGCUUCUGCACGGUAAAAGUGCCCCUCCUCAGCGGGCUCUUGUUUUCAUUAAGGAAAGUCCCUACCUUGCAGAAGUGCUGAAUAUUCAGGUGUCUUCAGGGACCUUGGGAUCACCUUGCCAUCAGAAUUGCAUCUCUGAAGCAGUUCUAAGCAAGCUCUAUUUGGCAACAAACCACAUCUGGGAGGCAGCUCAGGGAAGAGGAUGGAGGUGGAGGAAGCUUUCCUUCAGCCUGCAUCCAUCCUGACCUCUUCUAAAGCCAAGUGUACCUUAAAAGGCAGGUAGUAAAUUUGACCUCUCCUGCUCUGCUGCAAACUAACAAAUGAUAGUCGUUAUGCAGCUGGUGCAACUUGAAGUUACAAAAAUACCUCCUUACAAACGCUUUCUAUCCCAAUACAAGCAGGACUCUUUCCUAUAAGAGAAGCUGGGAAUCUGAAGUGUGAGCUCUCAGGCCCAAGGAUGGAGCUGGUUGGGAUGUGUGCCUCUGCUACUCUCAUACCAUUUCUAGUCUCAUAGAUGGUGACAGAUACCUCUGCCGGAGUGGCACAGACAGUGUUGUGCUGUGAGUGCUGGCUUGUUUGACUCCACUUCACACUGGGGACAGUGUCAUCCUUUGGCUAGGAAUGAACAUGUUAUUGGGCUUUUAUGUUCUUUUAAAUAACCGGUGUGUGUCUAAUCACCUGAUUAGAAUGAAUGUAAUGGCACCCCCUCGUGGCUUUCAAGCAGAGACAGGCAAAAUUAGAGUGUGUAGUACUGUGCUGCCUGUGGGCGUUGUUCUGCAGAGACUAAGAACAGCUGCCCAACAGAACUGCUGCUGAUGCUGGUAGAAUUGCCUCCAGCAGCUGGAUUGAGAACUGUAGAUCUCUGUGAUGAAGCUGCAAAUGCUUUUGUAUUGACAAUCUGUAGAAACUCUCAUGACACAAAAGUUCAGAGCAGAGCAUUUGUCAACCUCAGACGAGGUACCCUCGUGAACAUCAUGGCUGCUUUUGGAUUAGUAUAGAGAAGUGG